AACGAACGCUGGUGGCGUGCUUAACACAUGCAAGUCGAACGAGAAAGUUUCCUUCGGGAAAUUAGUAAAGUGGCGCAAGGGUGAGUAACACGUGAAUAAUCUGCCCUCGAGAUCGGGAUAACAUGGUGAAGACUAUGCUAAUACCGGAUAAGACCACAUUUUUAAAAGAAAUGCGGUAAAAGAAGUCUCAAUCUUUACUCGAGGAUGAGUUUCGCGCAAACAUUAGCUUGUUGGUGAGAUAAAAGCUCACCAAGGCUACGAUGUUUAGCCGGCCUGAGAGGGUGAACGGCCACACUGGAACUGAGACACGGGUCCAGACUCCUACGGGAGGGCAGCAGUGGGGAAUAUUGCGCAAUGGGCGAAAGCCUGACGCAGCAACGCCGUGUGAGCGAUG
rnacentral:rRNA from 1 species